rnacentral:rRNA from 1 species
CAAGGUUCCCAAACGGCCCGUCUAGUAACACGGACCAAGGAGUCUAACAUCUAUGCAAGUAUUUGGGUGCAAAACCCUGAUGCGUAAUGAAAGUAAAGGUAGACUUGUUUCUACUGAGGUAGGAAUCCCUCCUUUCCGGGGGGAGGCACUAUCGACCGAUCAUCACUUGUGAAAGAUUUGAGUAAGAGCAUAUCUGUUGGGACCCGAAAGAUGGUGAUCUAUGCCUGAACAGGGUGAAGCCAGGGGAAACUCUGGUGGAGGCUCGUAGCGAUACUGACGUGCAAAUCGUUCGUCUGAUUUGGGUAUAGGGGCGAAAGACUAAUCGAACCAUCUAGUAGCUGGUUCCCUCCGAAGUUUCCCUCAGGAUAGCUGGAACUUAUACAGUUUUAUCAGGUAAAGCUAAUGAUUAGAGGUUCCGGGGCUGAAACAGCCUUGACCUAUUCUCAAACUUUAAAUAGGUAAGAAAU